UACGGAGGGGGCUAGCGUUGUUCGGAAUUACUGGGCGUAAAGCGCACGUAGGCGGCUUCUUAAGUCGGUGGUGAAAUCCUGGAGCUCAACUCCAGAACUGCCUUCGAUACUGGGAGCUCGAGUCCGGGAGAGGUGAGUGGAACUGCGAGUGUAGAGGUGAAAUUCGUAGAUAUUCGCAAGAACACCAGUGGCGAAGGCGGCUCACUGGCCCGGUACUGACGCUGAGGUGCGAAAGCGUGGGGAGCAAACAGG
rnacentral:rRNA from 1 species